AUUGAACGCUAGCGGGAUGCCUUACACAUGCAAGUCGAACGGAGUGGCGAACGGGUGAGUAAUGUAUCGGAACGUGCCCAGUAGCGGGGGAUAACUACGCGAAAGCGUAGCUAAUACCGCAUACUAUUGGAGCGGACGAUAUCGGAGUAGCUAGUUGGGGGGGUAACGGCUCACCAAGGCACCGAACCGUAGAUGGUUUGAGAGGACGACCAGCCACACGGGGAAUUGGACACGGCCCAGACUCCUACGGUAGGCAGCAGUGGGGAAUUUUGGACAAUGGGGGAAACCCUGAUCCAGCCAUCCCGCGUGUGCGAUGAAGGCCUUCGGGUUGUAAAGCACUUUUGGCAUGAAAGCGGUACCUGCAGAAUAAGCACCGGCUAACUACGUGCCAGCAGCCGCGGUAAUAC
rnacentral:rRNA from 1 species